rnacentral:rRNA from 1 species
AGCUCCAAUAGCGUAUAUUAAAGUUGUUGCAGUUAAAAAGCUCGUAGUUGGAUUUCUGGUGGGAGCGUUGGGCCAGCCCUAAGGGUUUGUGCUCAAAUGUUUUCCGCCAUCCUCAGGUGGAACUUCUCUGGCAUUCAGUUGUCGGGGUUGCAAAACCUGUCGUUUACUGUGAAAAAAUUAGAGUGUUCAAAGCAGGCUUAUGCCGUUGAAUACAUUAGCAUGGAAUAAUAAGAUAGGACCUUGGUACUAUUUUGUUGGUUUGCGUACCUUGGUAAUGAUCAAUAGGGACAGUUGGGGCUAUUCGUAUUCCAUUGUCAGAGGUGAAAUUCUUGGAUUUAUGGAAGACGAACUACUGCGAAAGCAUUUAGCAAGGAUGUUUUCA